ACCUGGGAUAGCUCAGUUGGUGGAGCAUGAGACUCUUAAUCUCAUGGUUGUAGGUUCGAGCCCUAUCUUGGACA